UUUUUUUUUUUUUUCUUCAAGUUGAGGACUUUGACUUUUUCACUUAAAGGAAGUGCUUUGUUUUCUUUCCGCAGAUCAGAUGUGGCUUCUCUUUGGCUUCAGAUUUGGAAGCUGAAGUUCAGGUCAGCACUCAAGAUCUCCAGGGCCCUAUUCAGUGGCCCUGGAAUGACACUGCAGCGUCCCUGAAGUCAUCCUUGGAGUCCCGGGGAGUGGGGACCCACAUGCUGUGGCCAGAGUAGGGCAGGUAUCCAUCUGCCACUGACAGUGCUGUGAACGAACGCUGAGUUGCCAGCUUUGGAAUUACGUGGCUCCUGACAGGCUCUAGAAUGUGGUGUGAUGUGUAUUAUUUAAAUUCUGUGCAAAAAAUCAGACUUUUUAGCAUUUCCACGGAAAAUUUUGCAUACCUCUCUUAUUGAAUAUGAAUACACUGGUUUUAGCUUUUUACCAAGCCCAGCACCAUUCGUGUCACUAGGUUGUUGUUGAGAAAUGAAAGAGCAUGAGCCUGUGAUGAAGAUGUGCACUGUCCUUAGAAGCCAUUCUUGUAACAUCAAAAGGAUCAGCUUGUUCUAUCUUGGGGCACUGGGAAUAAACAGAGGCUUCUAGAUUAGAAAAGGAAGCCCACCAAGAGAGGGCAACAUUGGCCAACGGGGACUUGCUGUGUGGCACGGAGAACUUUACCCAAUAUUCUGUGAUUAUCUUUGUGGGACGAGAACCUGAAAGAGAACAGGUGUGUGUCUACAUACGACAGGGUCACUUUGUUGGACAGCAGAAAUGAUCACAACCUUGUAAAUGACCUUCACACCAAUAAAACAAACAAACAAAAGAACUUGAGAUAACAGAACAAUGAAAAAAGAAAAGGAAAGAAGAGUUCUCCUAACUGGCAACUCACACGUGUCCCCCACCAGGCCCAACGUCCAGCCCGGGGAGCCCCGACAGCCAAGGGACACUGGAUGCUUCCAGCUGUUUCCUCCUCACAGCAACGACUCCUACCCAGCUCCCCUGGAAAGGCAGCCAAGAAGAGUCAGCCUGCAGAAAGAGCCCUACAGCUGCAGGCUCUGACAUUUUAAUUCAUCAAAAUGCCUUUUGCAUCAGAAAAUGAAAUGUAUGUGUGUUCCCGGCUUGGCCUCUAACAUGGAUGUGAGCGACGAUAAAUAAGGCUACGCCUUCACUUAAGACGCGCUGCCACUUCCAGAGAACAGCCCGCAAUGCUUGUCACCUCAGUGCUCUGCCAUUUGCAGAACAGUUUGGUUGGAAGAAUUUUGGUGCUACCGUUUUUCUUUUACUGGGUAUUUCUUCAGGUUGUAUGCCUGAAAAAAUAUAAUGGAGUGUUUAAUGAUUUUUGUCCCGGUGCUUGGAGAGACUGCAGUGCUUUCGGAUGCCCAUGGCCACUCCGGGAUCCCAGGAGGCCGUGGCCAGAGCAGCAGGACUCAGCAGUGGGUCUGAGUCCAUCCAGCUGCGUCUGGAGAGGAGAGAAUGAACAGUUGGGCCCCCAGAAGCGCUAAGUCACUACCUUUCUGGCAGAGGCAGUGACCUUCUUGGAACCUAGCUGACUCCUUGAUGACACCCAGGUCUCCAUGGUAAGUGCUCUCCGCCUUUGAACGGAGGUCCCCAGCCAGUGGCUGGCCGUCUUCUCCAAGUCCACGGGCAGCCAGCCGGGCCAGCCUUGGAUGGUGUGUGACUCAGGGGCUGCCUGUGGGGUGAGAUGACCAAACAGACCCACGAGGCCUGGUGAUUCCAGAUUCCAGAGUCUUCAGAGACUGACGGAUUUUAAUUCAUCUGAAAACUACAUGAAAGCGGGUCCCUGGUUUCCUCUCUGCCCCUCUCCUCAUCCUUCCCACCUCUGCUCUUCCCCCACAGAGGUAAACCAUCAUCUCUGGAAAUGCUCUGUACAGAUACGGCCGUCUCCUCACAAAGGCUCACACCCCAAACCUGACGCAAGUGAGUCAACAUCGGGAACCAGAAGCCGGGCCCUGAGUUAUUUUUAAUCCCGCUAAACACAGAGGCCAUUGUACAUGCACCGUCUUCAGGGAAGGGGCAGCAAUUCCACCUGCUUACUGAUCCAAAGAGGAGGAAAUAAAAAAUACAACUGCAGCUGGUCUCCACACCCGGUUCUGUGACUCGUCUCACCUGCUGUAAGAUCUGAGAUGGCUCCACCUUCCCCAAUUUACUGGGCCACUCCAUCUGUAGGGCGUUUCUCUCCCCAAGUGACGUCUGCAGGGCAGCAGGGAGGGUCAGAUGGGCUCCGCACUUGGCAGCCCCUUCUUUGCGCCCCCCCCCAUCACCUGUUUAAGGUCUUUGAACUUGGCGUGCGUGGAGCUGUCACUCCUGUGCUGCAGGACUCUGUCAGACCCCCCUCAUUUCCAUCUGUUCCUCAAAACUGAGGUGACAAACAGAACAGAGGAGCCCCAACAACUUUCUGGGCCUGCGUGGUCCUCCCGGACAUUUCGAAUGCAGAGAAUCACAGGUGGGAGAAAGGCCCUGCAUGGCCCACACCUGUCUACACCUGUGCCCUGUCCAACACAGACACCACCUUCCCUGCCAGGCUUCAGCUGCCUGAGCAAUGGAAACUCAGUGCAAACCCAGAGGUGCUGUGAGUACAAACUAUGGCCUGGAUUUUGAUGACUCUAUACAAAAGUAAAGACUGUAAAAUAUUUCCUCAAUAACUAUUUACAUCUUGAUCUACAUGCUGAAAUGGUAUUUUGGAUAUAUUUGGUUAAAUUUCAUUACCAUUUUCCAGGCAGUCAUGGAGAGGCCAGGCCUCCUUGGAGGUCUUACUUUUGGGUUUUGCCAUUCUGCUCAGAACCCAUUAACCACCCUCCACCGCCACGAUCCCUCGUUCUGUGAACAGCAGUGCCCAGCUCACGUCCGCCACCCCAGGCCUCCCUCCCCUGUGUUCCUCCUGCAGGCCCCUCUCGGCCACCCUAUCAGGCAGCAUCUGGCUCUUACCCUGCCUCUCUGCUGCCCCCUCAGCAGCACCCGUGCUGUGUCCACCCCGUGCUAGACACCGAGUCUCAGUGUCUUCCCUGCACGUCUCUGUCCCUCUACCCAGCCCCACCCUUGGAAUGAAGCCCCCUCUCCCCACCGUGGGGGCUGCCCCCAUGUCUAGGGCCCCAGGGGCUUCUCCUGCUGCCCCUGCUGGCCUCCUAGCUUCCCAGCCUGGCUGCCUUCACCCACAGAGGCGCUUCUAAGGGUUUGUUGCCAACACAGCUGAGCCCAGGUAGAGUAAGUCAUUGAACAAGCAGGGGAAGUGGCAAGAAAUGCACGCUUCCUAGAGCAGGAUGCUGCCCCCACCACGGGAGGGAAUUGGCCCUGUUGCUUCUACUCGAGGGCAGGGCUUUGGUCCCUUCCUUUGAUCUUUUGCAGCAAACGCUCUUCUAAGGGGCCUUGAAUUCUAGAGUCAGUCCAUCGGUUCUGGGUUCCGUGCUCACAGCUCUCUCGCAGCCCAGGGCGGGUGAGUCCUGCCUCCUCAGGGGAUCCCAUCGGACCCUCACCACCUGUCGCCCUACAUGGAAGCUGUCUGUUUACUCUGCAGCGUCCAUCAGCAGAGCAUCAAUUCAAGGACCAUCAUUUCCGAUUCAGCCUUGCAUCCCCAUGGGGUAGCACAGACCUGACAUGUGAUACCAAGGGGUACAGAUGCUUCACACGGGAUGGGACUGCUGAGCUGUCUGAGGACUCUCACUGCAGAGACAAAUAGUGCUGUGGCAAAUGCUAACUUGCUCUGUGCCAGGAAAUGAGUUUCCAUCCUGCAGGCUCUCGUUUGCCAAAUAUACUCAUUACUGAAAAGGCUGGAAACGAACUCCUCAACUUGAUAUUUAAGAAGCAGAUAUUGCUUGGUUUCAUUUUAACAAAAAUGCAGAAAAAAACAUAUUAACUUUUGAUAUGUUAGUCAUCUAAUAAAGGACUUUAGUGCAGCAUAUUUUUUUGAUGGCUAAAGGGUGACCUUUUAGUUUAAUACCUGCUUCACACAGCUUGAGACAUCAUUAAUUAAGGUCUUUUGAUUGAAUACUACAACCCAGUCACCCAGCAUGUCUUUUUUUUUUUUAAAUCCUCUGAAAGACUGCUUCCUUCACUUGCAAAGGUGAGAGCAUAAUUGAAUGAACACGGAUGUCAGCCUGACCAGGAACUGGAGUUGCUCUUCUCAAAGCCGGCCUCCCUUUCCUGGGACCUCCCUGCCUCCUCCAAUAGCAGUUAUAGAAUUACAAGCCAGGUCAGGUUGGAACUGACAUAUGGAAAGGCCCUGCCAUCUUUACGGACAUGAGAGUGUGACACCGACAAAAAUGCUUCUGUGCGGGAAGAAACGUUCACUCCAGCGGUGGAUGGGAGCACAUCGAAAGGCAAAUGGAUUUGGAUGCAGAGCCCUCUGAGCUUCGGGUGGCAUGUGGGCCCUGUUGCCACAUGGGCAGCACAGCGAAACCAGUGCCAAAGCCCAGGCUGGUCUGCCAGCCAGGCUCUUAAUGUGCACAGUCCUGAUCACCUGGAGGCUGGGGGGCAGCGAAGUAAUAUAAGCACAAACCUUCAAAGCUCACAUGGCAGCCUCUGUGCUACUUCUGGAACACACCAGCAUGGCACCUGGUACAUGGGAAGUGUUCCACAGCUGACAGCUGACAAGUGACAAGGCAGGUGUCAGUGGUGGGAAGGAGCAGAACCACGGAAAGCUGAUGCCCCCACCACAGACAUGCCACAAGUGAUGCCCUGCUGGACCUGCCUCCUUGUUCCCUGUACCACCCUCUUCUCAAUCACUGGACACACUGUCCAGGCAAGGGGUCUGUGGGUGCUCAAGCUGAUCAGAGAACCAGGUCAAACUUAAGGACUCCACAGUUUCCUAGGCUCACGGUGAUGCCACUUGCCCAGGGCACAGCUGUGUGCCUGCCAGCAGGACAGCUCCGUCAGCAUGACCAAGGACACACUGGAAUGAACCCAGGUUCCAGGAUGAGCGGGCAUCAGAGAGCUUUGCCAGCCCCAGUCCAGACUUGGGGCCAGCUGGGGACCAAGGAAAAAAGCUUGUACUCUUUAUUUUUAUUUACCUCCCCCCCCCAUGACUUCUCAGGGGCGGUG
rnacentral:lncRNA from 1 species